rnacentral:rRNA from 1 species
CGUUGAUAGGUUGGAUGUGGAAGCAUAGUGAUAUGUGAAGCUGACCAAUACUAAUUGCUCGUGAGGCUUGACUAUACAACACCCAAGCAGUUG